rnacentral:lncRNA from 1 species
CCCUUCCUUCCACCACUACCAUUAAACUAAUAAAAAAUAAAAAGUACGAAAGUACAAAAAAAAAAAUAAAAAAAAAAAAAAAAAAAAAAAAAAAAGUCAAAAAAUAAAAAAAAAAAAAAAAAAAAAAAAAAAAUAGAAAUAGAAAAAAUUUAAAAUUAAAAAAAAAAGAAAAAGAAAAAGAAAAAACAAAAUGGUUUUUCUUCUGGCAACUUGUGAUCGGCCAUCACCAUCACCCAUUCCCCUAUCAUACUGAGACACCAUACAAGGAUUUAACUAUUUCUUGUAAUCAAG